CAGCAGUGGGGGGAUUUUGCACAAUGGGCGCAAGCCUGAUGCAGCGACGCCGCGUGAGGGAUGGAGGCCUUCGGGUUGUGAACCUCUGUCGCCGGUGAUGUAGGCUCUGCUUUGUGGGUGGGGUUGACGGUAGCCGGGGUAUGAAGUGCCGGCUAACUACGUGCCAGCAGCCGCGGUAAUACGUAGGGCGCGAGCGUUGUCCGGAAUUAUUGGGCGUAAAGAGCUCGUAGGCGGCUGGUCGCGUCUGUCGUGAAAUCCUCUGGCUUAACUGGGGGCGUGCGGUGGGUACGGGCCGGCUUGAGUGCGGUAGGGGAGGCUGGAAUUCCUGGUGUAGCGGUGGAAUGCGCAGAUAUCAGGAGGAACACCGGUGGCGAAGGCGGGUCUCUGGGCCGUGUACUGACGCUGAGGAGCGAAAGCGUGGGGAGCGAACAGGAUUAGAUACCCUGGUAGUCCAUGCUGUAAACGUUGGGCACUAGGUGUGGGGGGUCUUUCCGGGUCUUCCGCGCCGUAGCUAACGCAUUAAGUGCCCCGCCUGGGGAGUACGGCCGCAAGGCUAAAACUCAAAGGAAUUGACGGGGGCCCGCACAAG
rnacentral:rRNA from 1 species